rnacentral:rRNA from 1 species
UAAGGAGGGUGCAAGCGUUGUUCGGAUUUAUUGGGCGUAAAGCGCGUGUAGGCGGUUUGUUAAGUCUGAUGUGAAAGCCCCGGGCUCAACCUGGGAAGUGCAUUGGAAACUGGCAGACUUGAAUACGGGAGAGGGUAGUGGAAUUCCUAGUGUAGGAGUGAAAUCCGUAGAUAUUAGGAGGAACACCGGUGGCGAAGGCGGCUACCUGGACCGAUAUUGACGCUGAGACGCGAAAGCGUGGGGAGCAAACAGG